GACGAACGCUGGCGGCGUGCCUAAUACAUGCAAGUCGUGCGGACUUUACGGGAGCUUGCUCCCAAGAAGUUAGCGGCGGACGGGUGAGUAACACGUGGGCAACCUGCCUGGCAGACUGGGAUAACAUUCGGAAACGGAUGCUAAUACCGGAUAGGCAGCGAAGAGGCAUCUCUUUGCUGAGAAAGGCGCUACGGCGUCACUGUCAGAUGGGCCCGCGGCGCAUUAGCUAGUUGGUGAGGUAACGGCUCACCAAGGCGACGAUGCGUAGCCGACCUAGGAGGGUGACCGGCCACACUGGGACUGGGACACGGCCCAGAAUCCUACGGGAGGCAGCAGUAGGGAAUCUUCCACAAUGGGCGAAAGCCUGAUGGAGCAACGCCGCGUGAGUGAUGAAGGCCUUCGGGUUGUAAAACUCUGUCUUCUGGGACGAACGAACAGGAAAGGGAAUGUUCCUGUUGUGACGGUACCAGAGGAGGAAGCCACGGCUAACUACGUGCCAGCCGCCGCGGUAAUAC
rnacentral:rRNA from 1 species